rnacentral:lncRNA from 1 species
UACAAAAUAUUCUAACUUGGAUUUUGGAUUAACUCCUCGUAACAGGUUUUGCCUCUCUUCUUCUCAUUUUGGAUAAUUUUUAUAAAAAUUUUGUUUUCGUUUGGUUUAGCAUUCCUCCAAUCUAUCAAUUUUUCUCUUUCGUUGUUUUAGUUCUUUUUUAUAUGUGUCAUCGUUUUGUUUUGUUUUUUAUUUCCUCCGCAAUUCUUAAUCUUCUUAGGAGAAGGAACAUUAAUGUAGUUUGAUUUGCGGGUAAGAAUUUUUUCUAGUUGUAGCAUCUUUAGGAGAUAAUAAUACUUGCAAUUCAGAUUAAUUUUAUGCUAUUUUUUAUUUUAUUUGCUUUUUUAUUUUGUAUUCAUGUUUUUCCUUAUAUUAUUCUUUGUUUAUUUCUGUUAGUUUUUUAUUUCUAUUUUUUUUGGUUCUUUUUCUGGUGUUAUAUUUCAUAUUCUUCGUUUGCAUGCAGGCUUUCAAUUGAGCGUAGUUAGGUCGCUAGCCUUUUUUGAUUGUUGUGUUUCAAUUUAGUAGUUUAAUUAUUCAAUUUAACUUUUAUUUUUGCCUUUUCGUUUCAUCUUCUUCGCAGACCACUACCACUGAAACUUUUUAAUUUUAUUGGACGAUAAAAUUGGACAUAGAACUAUUAUAGGAAAUUUAAAAGGUUUGUUACUUUGGUUCUGAUGGUUAUAGUAUUAGGUGGUCUUACUAUAGGAAAUUAAAAAGGUUUGCUACUUUGACUUUUAUAGUAUUGACUGGUGUUGGCUGAAGCUUGAGAUUUGUUUUAAUUGGUUUAAAUCUCAAUAUUUGAACAAUUAUACUUAAGAAUGUUGAGUUUUUAGUUUUCUGAAGAUCGUAAGAUAUGUUUUAUUUGGCUUUAAAUUCAUGAAUGUCCUGUUUUGUACAUGAAUGUCUCCUAUACUCAACCAUGAGCAGGAGGAAGAUGUUUGCGACGAGAGGAAGAUGAUUUCGACGAUAUCAAGAAAGAUGAUGAUGAUCAUUAUGAAGAAGGGCGAGCGUUAAGGCCAGUAAUGAAAGAAUAUUAAAUUUGAUCCGUAGAGGGC